UACGUAGGGGGCAAGCGUUGUCCGGAAUCAUUGGGCGUAAAGCGCGUGUAGGCGGCUGAGUAAGUCUGCUCUGAAAGCCCGGGGCUCAACCCCCGGGAGGCGGGUGGAUACUGCUCAGCUCGAGUCCGGAAGAGGAGUGUGGAAUUCCUGGUGUAGCGGUGAAAUGCGCAGAUAUCAGGAAGAACACCGGUGGCGAAGGCGGCUCUCUGGGCCUUACCUGACGCUGAGGAGCGAAAGCGUGGGUAGCGAACAGG
rnacentral:rRNA from 1 species